rnacentral:rRNA from 1 species
CAGUCGCCGCGGUAAAACGUAUGGUGCGAGCGUUAAUCGGAAUUACUGGGCGUAAAGCGUGCGCAGGCGGUUCGUUAAGACAGAUGUGAAAUCCCCGGGCUUAACCUGGGAACUGCAUUUGUGACUGGCGAGCUAGAGUAUGGCAGAGAGGGGUAGAAUUCCACGUGUAGCAGUGAAAUGCGUAGAGAUGUGGAGGAAUACCGAUGGCGAAGGCAGCCCCCUGGGCCAAUACUGACGCUCAUGCACGAAAGCGUGGGGAGCAAACAGGAUUAGAGACCCCCGUAGUCCCUGUCUCUUAUAC